rnacentral:tRNA from 1 species
GCGGGUGUAGUUCAAUGGUAGAACCUCAGCUUCCCAAGCUGAUGACACGGGUUCGAUUCCCGCCACCCGCU